rnacentral:rRNA from 1 species
GAUGAACGCUGGCGGCGUGCAUAACACAUUCAAGUCGAACGAAUUUAAUUCUUCGGAAUUAAGUUAGUGGCGGACGGGUGAGUAACGCGUGAGUAACCUGCCUAUGUGAGAGGAAUAACACAGGGGAAACUUGUGCUAAUACCACAUAACGUAUGAUGAUCGCAUGGUCGACAUACCAAAGAGCAAUCGCACAUAGAUGGACUCGCGUCUGAUUAGAUAGUUGGCAGGGUAACGGCCUACCAAGUCUACGAUCAGUAGCCGAACUGAGAGGUUGAACGGCCACAUUGGAACUGAGAAACGGUCCAGACUCCUACGGGAGGCAGCAGUGGGGAAUAUUGGGCAAUGGGCGAAAGCCUGACCCAGCGACGCCGCGUGAGGGAAGAAGGUCUUCGGAUUGUAAACCUUUGUCCUCAGUGACGAAACAAAUGACGGUAGCUGAGGAGGAAGCCACGGCUAACUACGUG